GUGCUUACUUCAGCAGCACAGAUAAUAAAAAUGUAACUACACAGAGAUUGGCAUGGCCCCUGUGCAAGGAAAACCCACAAAUUCAUAGAGCAUGCCAUGUUAAA